GAUGAACGCUGGCGGCGUGCCUAAUACAGGCAAGUCGAGCGAACAGACGAGGAGCUUGCUCCUCUUACGUUAGCGACGGACGGGGUAGUAACACGGUGAUAACCUACCUAUAAUGCUGUGAUAACUUCGGGAAGCCGCGACUAAUACCUAAGAGUUUAUUCAACCGGGUGGUGCAAGGAUAGAAGAGGCUUUUGCGGUCACUUAUACGUGGUUCCGCGCCGCAUUAGCUAGUUGGUAGGGUAACGGCUUACCAAGGCAACGAUGCGUAGCCGACCUGAGAGGCUGAUCGGCGACAUUGGAACUGAGACACGGUCCAGACUCCUAAGGGAGGCAGCAGUAGGGAAUCGUACGCAAUGGGCGAAAGCAUGACGGAGCAACGGCGCGUGAGUGAUGACGGUCUUCGGAUCGUAAAACUCUGUUAUUAGUGAAGAACAAAUGUGUAAGUAAAUAUGGACGUAUUGACGGUACCUAAUAAGAAAGCAACGGCUAACUACGUG
rnacentral:rRNA from 1 species